AUGACUUGGCAGCCAUCAUUUGACUUUUUGCUUGUUGGGCUCUUUCUUGUGUUAUUUACUUUCUGUGUCAUGGGCUUGGCUUGCUGGCAUACUCACUGCUUGACAUACACUCUGGAUUUGACGUCCUUGUCUCAAAUGAGAAUACCUAUAAAAUUGGCUGACAGCAUUUUCAGUUUCAAGAUUGAGUCUAUAAAAGAGGAGGAGACAGAUGCAGUACUGUACAAGGAGAGUAACGUUAGCCAUCAGGCAAGUGUACUGUAAAAAAGUGAAUAAAAAGUGAAUUGAGAUAGUAUAGUGCUCCCAUGGGGAAAGGGUAUAAAAGAUGAGUUGCUGAAUAUAUGAAUGGAUUAUAUGAAUUAUAUGGCUUUUUCAUGUUCUGAAGCUAUGCAAUCAUGUUGACAUUGAGAUGAGAAUAUAAACACAAACAUUUUUAGGAAAAUGGUUUCAAGAAUCAUUUGAACAGCCAUAUCACGUUCUUUUUGUGAAUUCUAUUUAAUUGAAAUUUUCAUAGUCUCAGACAUGGAACAUAUCAAUACAAGUCUUAGAAAUACAGUUCUUAGAAAUCAGAGGGACUGGCAAAAGAAUACAGUGUAGAAUUUAUACCAUUUUGCUUAAAACACAUUUCUGAAACAAUGCUUUUCUGUUCUAAGCUCUGUCCUUUUGUCUCAAGGGAUCACUUUGCAACUUCCUGUGUUCAGACAAAUUCAGGCAUUUCCUUGGAUGCCAUUUUAGUGACACUUACUGACGUUUGACCUGUAGUAUUUCCCCUUAGGAGAUGGUAGCAUGAAACCUCUGUUUGGUUUCAUGAAAUUUCCUAUGCAAUAAUCUAGUUUAAUAGAUUGACUCAGAUUAGCCAAAAUAUGUAUUUCCCACGGUUUAGGAAAGAUUCCUAUGCAAAAACCCACUAUUAAAUUUUGAUGAGGGCUUCCCUAAACACAGCGGAAUAGUCUGGAGCCCAAGCUUAUUAGUGAAAUCAACAAAGGAAACUCUAAGAAACUCAUACACUAUAUAAUGAGUCCUUUCAAAAUGCUCUUGUAAUUAAAAAUAAAACCUUAACUAUAGAACUGUAUGAGGAAGAAUUGUCAACUCCAUAGACUUAAACUGAGGACAAGACUGGUCUUAUUGUCAAAACAAACAUUUUGCAUAAAAUUUCAUUAAGCAGAUAGCUUAGGGAAUAUUAUUAUGAAAUUAUUUUAGUAUUUUAUUUCAAUGGACUUUGUUUUAUUGAAAAAAUCAACCCUUUUCCAUGUAGGAGUUCAUAAUAAGCAAAAUACUGUAGCAAUCUCCUUUCAUGUUUUUCCCUUUUUUUCCUUUUUUUAAAAUCUAGUUUUUUUGCUAAAGACAGAACUGUUUCUGGAGGAAGGCCUUAAAUCAUGCUGCUAUUUCUUCCCCACUAUUUUAUACACUUGAGGAUGGAACUGGAAAUGCCUUCAAAUAGAAAUUUAUAUCGGGGCAUUAAAUAACUUCAAAUUCAAUGUGUUUCUUCAAGGAUGAACUAAGUGUUCAUAUGCAGGUUGUACUCAGUAGUCAAGCAGAAGCACACGGAAGAUCAUUAAAGAGGAGGAAAGGACUGAGACUUUGUACAGUUUUCAGUAUUUCAUAGCUUUGGUAAUGACAAAAAAAAAUUCUAGUAACUAUUGUUUUUUAUGGCCUUUUUUCCCCCUGGGAGUUACAUUAAUCAAACUUAUUUUGGUAGCUUAAAACUGAACAAAAGGAUAUCAGUAACAGCCUGUAUAGUUAAAUGGAAAAAUAAGCCAAAGGGGUUAUAUGUGAGCACAAAAUAAUAAAUAUUAAAUUUAUAGCAGAGAGCCACUAGCUUAUGGACAAAGUUAAAAACAAAACAAAACUGAUGCUCCAGACUGGAUAAUGUUUAUGUAUUUCUUACUAACCAUUCCCUAAUGGAUAGCUCCAAUGCAUGGUGAGAUAUAUUUUCAUAUAAUGUUACUUUGCUGCUAACUGACUUUCUUGCCUGGUUUAGUUUUUAUAAGGAAUAAAAAUGCUUGGAACAGAGAAUUUUAGUAGAAAAGGAAACUGUGCAGAGUCAUUCUGAAAGAUACCAUUGUAAACUAGCAUCUCUUUCAGGAUGAUCUCUAUAUUCACUUGAUUGUCAUGUGAAAUGAAAUCAUCUACUGAUACAUGUUCAAAUAUAGAUGACAGAAAGUUUAUGACAUGAUGUUCACACUUGGUUAGUUCUAUAACCCUAUUCUCAGGGUAGAAGUCAGCAGUACAAGUUCUGGAAGCAAACACUCCCCCUAAAGAGGUGUACAAGAGCGAUCUAGAUUGCAUUGUGGUACAUAGAAUUUUAAAGCUGACCUGUUUGUACUGACAGAACAGCUGAAUUAAGGACCUCAUGGAGGACUUUGACACUGUGCCUAAGUGGCAAUAAAAGCUAUAAUAUUAUUUCCUUUAAAAGCCAUUUUGAGGAUCUGGAAGUGAAAUUCCAACUAUAUUUGCAUUUGCAAAUUUCAACAUUGCUGAAAUGCUAUUUUCUCUGUGAACUCUGUAGAAUGAGGCCAAUCUGGAAAAUUGGUUUUAUAACUACUUACCUGAGACUUACUAAUAUCUAUGGUUUGGCUUCUCUUCAUAGAUCACACAUUUCGUAUGACCUUUGUUAGCCACAGAAAGAUUAAAAUUAGCAUGUAAAUGAAAAUGUUUGUGGAGCAACACCACAAAUAUUCACUAAUAGUUGGCAAAUCUCUAAUAUGGCUCUUUGCAUCCUGUUGGUUAGACUUCUAAAGGGAAGAAAUGCUGUUAAACUGAAGAAACAUAGAGAAAAUGUUUUGCUAGCAAAGUGUCCCAGAGAGUUAGGUAUAUUUUAUACAUAUAUUUAUGAAUAAAUUAAAUAAUUUAUAUAUAUUUACAGUAGUCAUUUUACUUUGAAUUUCUAAGAUAUUAG
rnacentral:lncRNA from 9 species